rnacentral:rRNA from 1 species
AACGAACGCUGGCGGCAGGCUUAACACAUGCAAGUCGAACGAGAAGCUUGGCUUCGGCCAAGUGGAAAGUGGCAGACGGGUGAGUAACGCGUGGGAACGUACCCUUUGGUUCGGAACAACUCCGGGAAACUGGAGCUAAUACCGGAUGUGCCCUUCGGGGGAAAGAUUUAUCGCCAAGGGAUCGGCCCGCGUCGGAUUAGCUUGUUGGUGGGGUAACGGCCUACCAAGGCUAUGAUCCGUAGCUGGUCUGAGAGGAUGAUCAGCCACACUGGGACUGAGACACGGCCCAGACUCCUACGGGAGGCAGCAGUGGGGAAUAUUGGACAAUGGGCGCAAGCCUGAUCCAGCCAUGCCGCGUGAGUGAUGAAGGCCCUAGGGUUGUAAAGCUCUUUCGCCAGGGACGAUAAUGACGGUACCUGGAUAAGAAGCCCCGGCUAACUUCGUG